AACGAACGCUGGCGGCAGGCUUAACACAUGCAAGUCGAGCGCCCCGCAAGGGGAGCGGCAGACGGGUGAGUAACGCGUGGGAACGUACCUUUUGGUUCGGAACAACUCCGGGAAACUGGAGCUAAUACCGGAUAAGCCCUAACGGGGAAAGAUUUAUCGCCGAAAGAUCGGCCCGCGUCUGAUUAGCUAGUUGGUGAGGUAACGGCUCACCAAGGCGACGAUCAGUAGCUGGUCUGAGAGGAUGAUCAGCCACACUGGGACUGAGACACGGCCCAGACUCCUACGGGAGGCAGCAGAGGGGAAUAUUGGACAAUGGGCGCAAGCCUGAUCCAGCCAUGCCGCGUGAGUGAUGAAGGCCUUAGGGUUGUAAAGCUCUUUUGUCCGGGAAGAUAAUGACUGUACCGGAAGAAUAAGCCCCGGCUAACUUCGUG
rnacentral:rRNA from 1 species